rnacentral:lncRNA from 1 species
GGCUCACACAUGCGCACUAAGAGGCAAAAUGGCAGUCUUUAACUGUUGACAUGACCUCCUUGGAACAUUCAGACUGAGAACUACCUGUAAUUUGAGCGAAAAAAAUCUUCUUUUGGAAACUCCUUAAGAUAUAGUCUGCCUUACUGCACGCUAUUGAGAUAUAGUAUCUGGAAACGUUGAACAGAUCACUGAUGCUCUUUUCAUUUCUGGAGGCUGGAGAGUCCAAGGUCAGGAGGCUACAUCUGCUUGGCAUCUGUUGGUUGGAAUGUGGGUAUGGUUGCUGGAGGUGAAAUAGAAAUUCUGAACCAGGAGCACAUUUUGGAAAUGAGGUCACCACUGCACAACAACAGAGUAAAAGAAGUCUGUGUCCUGAAACCGAGAAACACCAUUCCAGUCCUGUAGCUCCUGCCUUAUUUUAACAAGAGACAGAAAGAAAUUCCUAUUUUACCUAAGGCCCUGUUAGUUUGAGCUUUCUCUAACUUUUGGCUGAUACUUAGCAAUCAGCAAGAAACUUUAUGAUUUUGUUUUUGCUCCUAGGUCUACCUGAAUGAAGGAAAAAGACUGUCCCGCGUAUUAAUUUCAACUAGAAAAGAGAUAAAGCGAAUUAAUUUUAAAAAUAUUUCUACUAACCUCUAGAUUCAGAAUAUACAUUCACAGCAGGCUGAUUUAUGCUGUGAUAAGAAGCAAUCUCCAAGUUUCCGUGGCUCAACGCAAUAAAUGUAUACCUAACUCUAAAAAAAAAAAAAAA